GGGGACUUAGUUCAGUGGUAGAGCGCUUGCCUAGCAAGCACAAGGCCCUGGGUUCGAUCCCCAGCUCUG
rnacentral:tRNA from 1 species